AGUGAACGCUGGCGGCAUGCCUAACACAUGCAAGUCGAACGGUAACAGGCCCGCAAGGGUGCUGACGAGUGGCGGACGGGUGAGGAAUACAUCGGAAUUUGCCCAGUCGUGGGGGAUAACGUAGGGAAACUUACGCUAAUACCGCAUACGACCUAACGGUGAAAGCGGGGGAUCGCAAGACCUCGCGCGGAUGGAUAAGCCGAUGUCGGAUUAGCUAGUUGGCGGGGUAAAGGCCCACCAAGGCGACGAUCCGUAGCUGGUCUGAGAGGAUGAUCAGCCACACUGGGACUGAGACACGGCCCAGACUCCUACGGGAGGCAGCAGGUGGGAAUAUUGGACAAGUGGGGGCAACCCUGAUCCAGCAAUGCCGCGUGUGUG
rnacentral:rRNA from 1 species